UCUUUUUGUUAAAAAUUUGAAGUCUGGUCUGCCCUAUGAUAUAAUUAAAUGGCCGCGGUAUUUUGACCGUGCUAAGGUAGCAUAAUCAUUAGUUUUUUAAUUGAAAACUGGAAUGAAAGAUUGAAUGAAAAAAAGGCUGUCUCUAUUUAAUUAUUAUAAAACUUUAUUUUUAAGUUAAAAAGCUUAAAUGUUAUUAAAAGACGAGAAGACCCUAUAGAGUUUAAUAAUUUUAUAAUAUAAAAAUUUUAGUAUUAAUUUUUUUAAAUUGUUAAAUUUAUUUAAUUGGGGUGAUUUAAAAAUUAAAAUAACUUUUUAUAUAUAAUUAUAUAAAUUAAUAAAUAUUUGAUCCAAAAUUUUUGAUUAUAAGAUUAAAUUACCUUAGGGAUAACAGCGUAAUUUUAUUGGAGAGUUCUAAUUUAUAAUAAAGUUUGCGACCUCGAUGUUGGAUUAAAA
rnacentral:rRNA from 1 species